rnacentral:tRNA from 1 species
CAGGGUGUAGCGCAGAUGGUAGCGCGUUAGCUUUGGGAGCUAAAGGUCGUAGGUUCGAAUCCUGCCGUCCUGA